rnacentral:rRNA from 1 species
GACGAACGCUGGCGGCGUGCCUAAUACAUGCAAGUAGAACGCUGAAGAGAGGAGCUUACUCUUCUUGGAUGAGUUGCGAACGGGUGAGUAACGCGUAGGUAACCUGCCUUGUAGCGGGGGAUAACUAUUGGAAACGAUAGCUAAUACCGCAUAACAAUGGAUGACACAUGUCAUUUAUUUGAAAGGGGCAAUUGCUCCACUACAAGAUGGACCUGCGUUGUAUUAGCUAGUAGGUGAGGUAAUGGCGCACCUAGGCGACGAUACAUAGCCGACCUGAGAGGGUGAGCGGCCACACUGGGACUGAGACACGGCCCAGACUCCCACGGGAGGCAGCAGUAGGGAAUCUUCGGCAAUGGGGGCAACCCUGACCGAGCAACGCCGCGUGAGUGAAGAAGGUUUUCGGAUCGUAAAGCUCUGUUGUAAGUCAAGAACGGGUGUGAGAGUGGAAAGUUCACACUGUGACGGUAGCUUACCAGAAAGGGACGGCUAACUACGUG